rnacentral:misc_RNA from 1 species
GAUGAAGAACGUAGCGAAAUGCGAUAAGUAAUGUGAAUUGCAGAAUUCAGUGAAUCAUCGAAUCUUUGAACGCACAUUGCGCCCGCCAGUAUUCUGGCGGGCAUGCCUGUCCGAGCGUCAUUUCAACCCUCAAACCCCUCCGGGGGGUCGGCGUUGGGGAUCGGCCCUUUACGGGGCCGGCCCCGAAAUACAGUGGCGGUCUCGCCGCAGCCUCUCCUGCGCAGUAGUUUGCACACUCGCAUCGGGAGCGCGGCGCGUCCACAGCCGUUAAACACCCCAAACUUCUGAAAUGUUGACCUCGGAUCAGGUAGGAAUACCCGCUGAACUUAAGCAUAUCAAUAAGCGGAGGA